GACGAACGCUGGCGGCGUGCCUAAUACAUGCAAGUCGAACGCAUUUUCUUUCACCGUAGCUUGCUACACCGAAAGAAAAUGAGUGGCGAACGGGUGAGUAACACGUGGGUAACCUGCCCAUCAGCGGGGGAUAACACUUGGAAACAGGUGCUAAUACCGCAUAAUUCCAUUUACCGCAUGGUAAAUGGAUGAAAGGCGCUUUUGCGUCACUGAUGGAUGGACCCGCGGUGCAUUAGCUAGUUGGUGGGGUAACGGCCUACCAAGGCUGCGAUGCAUAGCCGACCAGAGAGGGGGAUCGGCCACACUGGGACGGAGACACGGCCCAGACUCCUACGGGAGGCAGCAGUAGGGAAUCUUCGGCAAUGGAAGCAAUUCUGACCGAGCAACGCCGCGUGAGUGAAGAAGGUUGUCGGAUCGUAAAACUCUGUUGUUAGAGAAGAUCAAGGAUGAGAGUGGAAAGUUCAUCCCUUGACGGUAUCUAACCAGAAAGCCACGGCUAACUACGUG
rnacentral:rRNA from 1 species